rnacentral:rRNA from 1 species
UUUGAUCCCUGGCUCAGAUUGAACGCUGGCGGCAUGCUUUACACAUGCAAGUCGAACGGACUUGGGGGCUUGCUCCCAGGUUAGUGGCGAACGGGUGAGUAAUGCAUCGGAACGUACCGUGUAGUGGGGGAUAACGUAGCGAAAGUUACGCUAAUACCGCAUGAGAUCUACGGAUGAAAGCAGGGGAUCGCAAGACCUUGCGCUAUAUGAGCGGCCGAUGUCGGAUUAGCUAGUUGGUGGGGUAAAGGCUCACCAAGGCGACGAUCCGUAGCGGGUCUGAGAGGAUGAUCCGCCACACUGGGACUGAGACACGGCCCAGACUCCUACGGGAGGCAGCAGUGGGGAAUUUUGGACAAUGGGCGCAAGCCUGAUCCAGCCAUGCCGCGUGAGUGAAGAAGGCCUUCGGGUUGUAAAGCUCUUUUGUCCGGGAGCAAAUCUGCGUGGUUAAUACCCAUGCAACUGAGAGUACCGGAAGAAUAAGCACCGGCUAACUACGUGCCAGCAGCCGCGGUAAU